CAGUAGCCGCGGGAAUACGAAGGGGGCUAGCGUUGUUCGGAAUUACUGGGCGUAAAGCGCACGUAGGCGGAUAUUUAAGUCAGGGGUGAAAUCCCAGAGCUCAACUCUGGAACUGCCUUCGAUACUGGGUAUCUUGAGUAUGGAAGAGGUGAGUGGAAUUCCGAGUGUAGAGGUGAAAUUCGUAGAUAUUCGGAGGAACGCCAGUGGCGAAGGCGGCUCACUGGUCCAUUACUGACGCUGAGGUGCGAAAGCGUGGGGAGCAAACAGGAUUAGAUACCCGGGUAGUCCCUGUCUCUUAUAC
rnacentral:rRNA from 1 species